rnacentral:rRNA from 1 species
CCUACGGGUGGCAGCAGUAGGGAAUAUUGCUCAAUGGGGGAAACCCUGAAGCAGCAACGCCGCGUGGAGGAUGAAGGUUUUAGGAUUGUUAACUCCUUUUGUUAGAGAAGUUUAUGAUGGUAUCUAACGAAUAAGCACCGGCUAACUCCGUGCCAGCAGCCGCGGUAAUACGGAGGGUGCAAGCGUUAUUCGGAAUCACUGGGCGUAAAGCGUGCGUAGGCGGAGUAAUAAGUCAGAUGUGAAAUGCUGGAGGUUAACUGGAGCACUGCAGUUGAAACUGUUACUCUGGAGUGUAGGAGAGGUAGGUGGAAUUCUUGGUGUAGGGGUGAAAUCCGUAGAGAUCAAGAGGAAUACUCAUUGCGAAGGC